UUAAACAUGUUGUAGAUCGUAGGUAUGGUUCCCGUGACAUGAUUCGCAAUGUGUAUCAAACGAACAAGUGUACGACAAUCAUAACUUGUUCCAGAUUAAUCCCACAAAAAUAAUUAAAAGUGGUUAUAAAGUUAAAAAUGCACAAUAGGUUUAAAACAUGUAUUAAAAUUCGAUAAUAGGUCAAUUAUAAUAGUUUAAGCGACCGUGCUAGAACCACGAAAUACGAAAGUGCCUAACACCUUCCCUCAAGUUAACAGAAUUCCUUAUUCAGGAUUUUUGAUUCGCAG
rnacentral:lncRNA from 1 species